rnacentral:misc_RNA from 1 species
AAGACUAUAGACCUGCGGAGUACCUGCGGAGGGAUCAUUACAGAGUUAUCUAACUCCCAAACCCAUGUGAACUUACCUUUGUUGCCUCGGCAGUAGUUGCUGGGCGAGCCUACCCGGGAACGAGCUACCCUGUAGCGAGUUACCCUGGAACGACUUACCCUGUAACGCCUGCCGGUGGACUACUAAACUCUUGUUAUUUUUAAAGUAAUCUGAGCGUCUUAUUUUAAUAAGUCAAAACUU